rnacentral:lncRNA from 1 species
AUGUGGGAGUGCAAGAAACUGGGGUCUGUUGUGCUGAAUGAGGCUGUUGCUUCAGGGUUCCUGGGAAAGGGCCUGGGGACAGCUUCAUUACACUCCAUUUUCUCUCUCUUUUCCUCUCCUCUCUCCUUUUCUUUCUUCUUCUCUCCCUCUCUUUUUCCUCUCUCCCCUCUCUUUCUUUCUUUUCUCUUUUAUCCCCUCUUUCUUACCUGUUUCCUUUCUCUACCUCUCCAUUUUCUUUUUUCUACUCUAUCUUCCUCCCUUUCUUUCCCCUUUCACUCCCUCUCUUUUUCUUUCUCCUUUCUCUCCUCUUCUCUCUCUUCUCCCUUUCCCUCUCUUUUUCUUUCUCUUUCUCCCUUUCUUUCCUAUCUUUCACUUCCUCUCUCCUUUUCUCUCACUCUUCUCUCUUCUCUUUUUUCUUUCAUCUUUCUCCAUUUCUUUCCUGUUUCACUCCCUCUCUCUUUUUUCUCUCCUUUUCUCUCUCCUCCCUCUUUUUCUCCUCUACCUUCCUCCCUUUCUUUCCUUUCUCUCUCACUUCCUCUCUCCUUUCUUUCCUCUUUUCCCUCUCUCUUCUCUCCUCUUUUUCUUUUCUUUCUCCAUUUCUUUCCUCUUUCACUCCCUCUCUCUUUUUGUCUCUUCCCUCUUUCUCCUCUUCUCCUCCUUCUCCUCUCUCUCUCUCUCUCUUUCUUCCUUUCCUCUCUUCCUCCUCUUUUCUCUUUCUCUUUCUCCAUUUCUUUCCUCUCUCUUUCACUCCCUCUCUCCUUUUCUCUCCUCUUUUCUCUCUCUCACUUUCUCCUCCUCUAUCUUCCUUUAUUUCUCUUCUUUCACUCUCCUUUCUCCUCUCUUCCCUCUUUUCCUCUUUUCUCUUUCUCCCUUUCUUUCCUCUUUCACUUCCUCUCUCCUUUUCUCUUCUUUCUCUCUCUCCCCUCUUUUUUUCCUCUCUCUUCCUCCCCCUCUCCUUUCUCCUCUGUCUCCCUCUCUUUUCUCCUCCGCCCCAAGACAGGACUCUAG